rnacentral:rRNA from 1 species
CUACGGGGCGCUGCAGUGAGGAAUAUUGGUCAAUGGGCGCGAGCCUGAACCAGCCAUCCCGCGUGCAGGAUGACGGCCCUAUGGGUUGUAAACUGCUUUUCUAUGCCAAGAAACCUGAUUACGUGUAAUCAGUUGCCGGUAGCAUAGGAAUAAGCAUCGGCUAACUCCGUGCCAGCAGCCGCGGUAAUACGGAGGAUGCAAGCGUUGUCCGGAUUCAUUGGGUUUAAAGGGUGCGCAGGUGGGCUUGUAAGUCAGUGGUGAAAUGCUGCCGCUUAACGGUAGAACUGCCAUUGAUACUGCGAGUCUUGAGUAUGGUUGAGGUAGGCGGAAUGUGUUGUGUAGCGGUGAAAUGCAUAGAUAUGACACAGAACGCCAAUUGCGAAGGCAGCUUACUAAGCCAUUACUGACGCUGAGGCACGAAAGCGUGGGGAGCGAACAGGAUUAGAUACCCUGGUAGUC